UCAGCUCUUUCUCUAGCAUGAUGCUGCCACGUUUUCUGCCAUGACAAUAAUGGACUAAACCUCUGAACUGUAAGACAGCCCCAAGUAAAUGUUUUUCUGUUUAAGAGUUGCCAUGGUCGUGGUGUCUCUUCACAGCAAUAAAACCCUACCUAAGACAAAAGUUGUACCAGGAACUGGGGUAUUGCUGGGACAGGCCUGACCAUGCUUUCGUUUGGAGGAAUGUGGACUUUGGGAUUUUGGAUUACAAAAGCAGUGGAAUGCUUUAAGUGGGGCUUAAUGGGCCAUCCUAGUAUAAGCAGGGCAGACAGUGGUGCCGAGGGUGAUCUAACUGUGGGGGCAUGGCUCCUGAGCUUUCAGAGGAGAAGAAUUUUAGUGUGCUGCCUAGAGAUCAUUCUUGUGAUAUUUUGGUCAAGAAUGUGGCUGCCUUUCUGUUGUUGUUGUUGUUUUUGAUUUUCAAGACAAGAGUUUCUCUGUGUAGCUCUGGCUGUCCUGGAACUUUGUAGACCAGGAUGGUCUGGAACUUAGAAAUCUGCCUGCCUCAGAAAUCUCCUGAGCACUGGGAUUAAAGACAUUAAUUCCACCACUGCCCAGCCUACAUGGCUGCUUUUUGCCCUUGUCAGAGAGUCUGCCUGAGGCUAACAUGAAGAUAUUUGGAUUAAUUUCAUUGGCAAAGGAAAUCUAAAAACAGCCCAGUAUUGACUCUGCUCUGUGUUUAUUAGUGGUUACUCUUAUACAGAUCUAUAAUGAGAAGCAGCAUGCUGAGGAAAAAAAAAAAUCCAAAACCUUCUCUUCUUUGAGAAGAGAGUGAACACCAGGAAAUGGAAUGGAGCUAAGUCCUGUGUUCGAGGAGAAUAGCAAGGCUUCACCCAGGUAAUCAUCCAACUUUUGAAAAGGAAUUAAAGAAAAGUGAAAGGAACUACAGAAAAGUUUAGGGCUGGGUGGGGCUGUACAUGCUCUUAACCCCAUCACUAAAGAAGCAGAGGCAAGAUGAUCUCCGAGUUCAAGGGCUGAUCUACAGAUCAGAGUUCCAGGACAGCCAAGCUUAGGCCGUGAAGAAAACCAUGAAGAACAGAGAGCUGGUGAAGAUGGAAUUGGAUGAGGGGCCAUGUUCCAGCCUCAGCAAGCAGCAUAACUUGGCAGCUUCUGCCAUGUGGUUCUGGCUUUAGAGUCAAGGACAGAAGAGAGGGGCUACAGAAUCUCCCUCUGUGACUAAAGGAAAGCUGCUGAGGCCAGGUCUGCUGCAGAGGUGUCUCCUCGUGAAGGCCCAGAGAGGCCAUUGUGUAAAGCUGUGAAGCUGAAGUCUGGAUUGCCUUGGAGACCCCAAAAUGUUAGAAAAGCCAUGGCUUUGAGAUACUUGCUUGGAGAGCUGCUAACAGGGAGUAGAACCAGCCUGAAAAAAAAAGACGUGUGCUGCCGUCAACAAAGCUGAAAGGAGUUGGGGAUGUCAAGAGGUCUUGGACAUCAGACAUGAAGAUGCAGAGCCUGGAGUUUGCCCAGGUUGGUUUUGGUCUUGCUUUGGUCCAGUAUUUCUUCAUUAUCCUCCAUUUCCUAUCCUUUGGAAUGGUAGUAUAUAUUCUGUGCCAUUAUUAUAUGUUGGAAGCAUGUGAUCUGCUUUCGGGCCAUGGGGACUUUUGAAGUUGGACUGAUUCCAUUUCUGCAUUAUGAUAUGGAUACAAGCCCAUGGGGGCCAGGGAGUGGAACGUGGUGGAUUGACUAGGACUGGCUCCCAUAGACCCAUGCGUGUGGGUGCUUGGCCCAUAGGCAGUGACACUAUUAGGAGGCGUAACCUUGUUGGAGUCGGUGUGGCCUUGCUGGAGGAAGGGAGCCACCGUGGAAUGGAGUAACACACCCAGUGUGGCUCACAGUCUUUUUCUGCUGCCUGCGAGUCAAGAUGUAGAAUUCUCAGCUUUCUCCAGUAUGCCUACCUCUAUGCCACCACAAUGGACUAAACCACGGAAUUGUAAACCAGCCCCAAUGAAAUAUUUUUCUUUAUAGAAGUUACCGUGGUCAUGGUGUCUCUUCAGAGCAAUAACACCCAACCUAAGACAACAUCCGUGAUUGGGACUCUGUGCAUCAUCCCGGGUGAUGACACUCAGCACCCUUUACUGCCCAUAGCAGUAAAGGAUUCUUUACUUUGGAUUCUGGGAAGAAUAAAGGCCACAGGAACUCACAAACCCACCCUCCUCAUUUUGAAGAAGUAUUUGCAGGGCACCAUAACUUGACAAAAAUGUGUCACAUGAGUAAAUACAGCCUCUGGGCUUGUAUUUGACUCAGUGGUAGAGCAUUGCCUGAUAUGUUCUGGAUUGUGUGACAUUUGAAAUUCUGGAGUUUUCAGAGGGCAUCUAAAUGCUAGAUCCCCGAUUGGGAGUUUUUGGGUGGCUGGUGUUGUAACCUUGGCUGUCCUGGAGUUGCUGUGUAGACCAUAUUGGGAUCCGUAAGCAGGCCAGCCCCAAGAGACCUGAUAGACCGGAUAUCAGGCGUCUGUGAAGCCACCUAUGGACCACCUGGAACCACCUGCGAAUGCUCUGGGUCACUUUAUAAGAGAACUCGAAGCUCUCCCCCCCUCCCUCUCCCUCUCUCCCUCUCCCUCCUUCUCCCUUCCUCUCCCUCUCUCCCUCUCUCCCUCUCUCCCUCUCUCACUUUCCUGCCCUGCCCGGAGGUGGUCUCUGUGACCCCUUCCUCUUUCCCCUUCCCUUCCCCCUUCCCUCAAUAAGCCUCCCACUUGGAACCAGUCACAUGGCAUGAUUUGUGAACUCGCUGUGUAACUGUUGUACAGUCCUAACAGACUAGGCUAGCCAGGACCUCACACAUAUCUGCCUGCCUUUGCCUCCUGAGUUCUGAGAU